rnacentral:rRNA from 1 species
GACAGAGGGUGCAAACGUUAUCCGGAAUUAUUGGGCGUAAAGAGCUCGUAGGCGGUCUGUCGCGUCUGCUGUGAAAACUGGGGGCUCAACCCCCAGCCUGCAGUGGGUACGGGCAGACUAGAGUGCGGUAGGGGAGAUUGGAAUUCCUGGUGUAGCGGUGGAAUGCACAGAUAUCAGGAGGAACACCGAUGGCGAAGGCAGAUCUCUGGGCCGUAACUGACGCUGAGGAGCGAAAGCAUGGGGAGCGAACAGG